AACGAACGCUGGCGGCAGGCUUAACACAUGCAAGUCGAGCGCCCCGCAAGGGGAGCGGCAGACGGGUGAGUAACGCGUGGGAACAUACCCUUUGGUUCGGAAUAACUCAGGGAAACUUGAGCUAAUACCGGAUACGUCCGUAAGGAGAAAGAUUUAUCGCCAAAGGAUUGGCCCGCGUCCGAUUAGCUAGUUGGUGAGGUAACGGCUCACCAAGGCUACGAUCGGUAGCUGGUCUGAGAGGAUGAUCAGCCACAUUGGGACUGAGACACGGCCCAAACUCCUACGGGAGGCAGCAGUGGGGAAUAUUGGACAAUGGGCGCAAGCCUGAUCCAGCCAUGCCGCGUGAGUGAUGAAGGCCUUAGGGUUGUAAAGCUCUUUUGUCCGGGAAGAUAAUGACUGUACCGGAAGAAUAAGCCCCGGCUAACUUCGUGCCAGCAGCCGCGGU
rnacentral:rRNA from 1 species